rnacentral:tRNA from 1 species
CAGUGUAUAGUUUAUUUAGAAUUUAAACUUUGGGUGUUUAAGAUGUAUAUUAAUUGUUACUAUACUGA